rnacentral:rRNA from 1 species
CCUACGGGUGGCUGCAGUGGGGGAUAUUGGACAAUGGGGGAAACCCUGAUCCAGCGACGCCGCGUGAGUGAAGAAGUAUUUCGGUAUGUAAAGCUCUAUCAGCAGGGAAGAAAGAAAUGACAGUACCUGACUAAGAAGCCUCGCCUAACUACGUGCCAGCAGCCGCGGUAAUACGUAGGGGGCAAGCGUUCUCCGGAAUUACUGGGUAUAAAGGGAGCGUAGACGGUAAUGCAAGUCUGGAGGGAAAGGCGGGGGCCCAACCCCCGGACUGCUGUGGAAACUGUGGAACUGGAGUGCAGGAGAGGCAGGCGGAAUUCCUGGUGUAGCGGUGAAAUGCGUAGAUAUUAGGAGGAACACCAGUGGCGAAGGCGGCCUGCUGGACUGUAACUGACGUUGAGGCUCGAAAGCGUGGGGAGCAAACAGGAUUAGAUACCCGUGUAGUC